rnacentral:rRNA from 1 species
GGGGGAUAACUACUGGAAACGGUAGCUAAUACCGCAUAACGUCGCAAGACCAAAGAGGGGGACCUUCGGGCCUCUUGCCAUCGGAUGUGCCCAGAUGGGAUUAGCUAGUAGGUGGGGUAACGGCUCACCUAGGCGACGAUCCCUAGCUGGUCUGAGAGGAUGACCAGCCACACUGGAACUGAGACACGGUCCAGACUCCUACGGGAGGCAGCAGUGGGGAAUAUUGCACAAUGGGCGCAAGCCUGAUGCAGCCAUGCCGCGUGUAUGAAGAAGGCCUUCGGGUUGUAAAGUACUUUCAGCGGGGAGGAAGGGAGUAAAGUUAAUACCUUUGCUCAUUGACGUUACCCGCAGAAGAAGCACCGGCUAACUCCGUGCCAGCAGCCGCGGUAAUACGGAGGGUGCAAGCGUUAAUCGGAAUUACUGGGCGUAAAGCGCACGCAGGCGGUUUGUUAAGUCAGAUGUGAAAUCCCCGGGCUCAACCUGGGAACUGCAUCUGAUACUGGCAAGC